rfam:Celeribacter marinus strain IMCC 12053, complete genome.
CGGCUCUCACAACGGCUUCCUGACGUGAGGGCGACAACCAUUGGAGCA